rnacentral:lncRNA from 1 species
AUUCUUUCCCAUUUAUUAAUAACAUUUAACCAUCAAUAUCAGUACAAACUUGUACAUAUUGGAAAACAUUCUUCAAUGCAGCUACUCGCUUUCUUCUAGAUGCAUAAGGGUACCUGAAAUGAAGCAGCUUCGAGGGAGCAGAGGAUGAAGAGCAGAUCUCCAAGCAUUAGAGGAGCAAAGCAGCAAGCCUCCCCACUCAAGAGCAUUAUUUCAAGCUCCAGCUCCUGGAACAGAAUAGCAUUACCAUGCACCCAAAGGCCUCAAGCUGCUGGUAAGCUAUUGCUGGUGGCCAGAGAUGUUAGAUACUCACAAGCAUGUUCUCUUCUCCUGCAGACAUUAUCUGAAAUCUACCACUUCUGCUGCCACCUCAAGCUUACUGCAGACAGAAGGGGAACCACACCACUCCGAGCAGCAGCAGCUUAAAUCCUUGGUCUCGCACAGGGAGCCCCUACAAGAAGGAGGCAGCGCUUAAUAAGAUUAGCAAAUGUUUAAGUCUGAGCAAAUAAAGAUAGCAAGUUGUUUCUCAGCAAAAAAC